UAGGGAAUCUUCCGCAAUGGACGCAAGUCUGACGGAGCAACGCCGCGUGUGUGAUGAAGGAUUUCGGUUCGUAAAGCACUGUUGUUAAGGAAGAAUAGUAGUAAGAGUAACUGUUUACUAAUUGACGGUACUUAACCAGAAAGCCACGGCUAACUACGUGCCAGCAGCCGCGGUAAUACGUAGGUGGCAAGCGUUAUCCGGAAUUAUUGGGCGUAAAGCGCGCGCAGGCGGCAAGAUUAGUCUGAUGUGAAAGCCCCCGGCUCAACCGGGGAGGGUCAUUGGAAACUGUCUUGCUUGAGUGCAGAAGAGGAGAGUGGAAUUCCAUGUGUAGCGGUGAAAUGCGCAGAGAUAUGGAGGAACACCAGUGGCGAAGGCGGCUCUCUGGUCUGCAACUGACGCUGAUGUGCGAAAGCGUGGGGAUCAAACAGG
rnacentral:rRNA from 1 species